AACAGAAGCAUUGAUAGGAAUUGCAUUAGCAGGAGCUGCUCAAGUAGGCGGCCUGGUGACCCCAGCCAAGGUCAAAGGGGAAAACUGGGUCCACAGCAUUUGGUGCCAAACACCACCAGGAGUGGCCCUUACACAGCGCAUCAGAGACAUCUCUCUAUGCCAGACUAUUUGGAUGGACACUUGAGAAGCCAUGAUGUUUCUUGCUGAGGUGAGGAGACUCUGAAUGCAAAGCAAACGUUACUGUUAGAAGCAACGCCAGCCCACCAGCCAUAGACCAUGUGGGGAUCGGAGGAGAGGAACGUUGGUCCAGGUGCUGAGGCAACUUUCCAGUGACCGGGAUGGGGUACCAAGCAGCUUUCCCUAGAGCGCUGAAGGCACUGAGAUGGAAAUUCACAUGACAACGCUCAUUUCAGCCUGUCAUUUGUAAUUUGUGGUGGCUCUCUUGAGAUUCUGGGUGUACUGCCAGAAGAAACUGAGACAGUAGAGUUGCUGUUCUCCCCAGUGCUGGGCACACAGCAUUCCACCUACGUGAAGUUCAAAUGCGAGCAGAGCCAGUGGAGUGACAGAGAGGAGAGCAGAUACAGCAGUCUCCCUAGAAGUGAGGAGAAGACAACCUGGCCCCCAAACUCUUGACCUAAAUGAAAAGCCUGCAAAGAUGGUGGCAGGAGGACUUUUAGUAACGUGAGGAUAUGGAAUUGUUGCCUGGUUGUCGUUUCUUCAUCCUUCUGCCUGUCUCCUGAAAGAUCACACCUGGCGAAACCAGCCUUUGGGCACAGGAUUAUUCUAAGAUGAUCAACUAAUGAUAGAGAAGAUAUUGCAUUAUUUAUGUCCAUAGACAGAUGAAGGGUUGAAGAAGAUGUGGUGCAUACAUGCAAUGGAAUACUACUCAGCCAUAAACAGAAUGAAAUAAUGUCAUUUGUAGCAACCUGGAUAGACCUAGAGAUCAUCCAACUAAGUGAAGUCCUGAACUCCAUGUCCAUCACCCAUUUGCCCUCACUGGGGACAGAACUGGAGUGAUCGUGGUCCCACCUAUUCCUUGCCGCUUGGGGCCUGAACCCUCCAAGCUUGUCAUGGACACACAAGCUGGCAGAUUUGGUCUCGUCUCUAACCACGACUAGUCUCAGAGGAGGGGUGAAUACGCGGUUCCCCCGGCUGGUCCUUCAGGGAGAGGGUGCCUCAUCCCAGAGGACAGAAGAGAAGCAAACCUCUCAGGUGCAUCCCAGGAAAAUGGUGAACUUCCCUCAACUCCCUGCUGCCACCCUCGCGUUCUUCCUCCUCACCUCCAUAGACCCCCAUUGCGUGCAUGCUAAGUAACUUCAGUCACGUCUGACUCUUUGCGACUCCAUACACUGUAGCCCGCUAGGUUCCUCCAUCCAUGGGAUUUUCCGGGCAAGAAUACUGGAGUAGGCUGCCAUGCCCUCCUUCAGGGGAUCUUCCUGACCCAGAGAUCAAACCUGAGUCUCUUAUGUCUCCUGCAUUGGCAGGCAGGUUCUUUACUACUGGGCCACCUGGGAAGCCCCCAUAGACCCAUAACCAAUGGGGGCUAAAAGCAAUAUAGGGGGCCAAAAGCCUGGGGGUGGGGGACAAAAAUUUCCAACCUUGGCUAGCAAUCCCGUUUCCAUCCCCUGAUGGAUCCAGCCAGGGCUCCAAAAUGGCUAAAGCAGUAGAAUAGUGGCCAAGAAGGUGAAAUAAUAUGUACCUAUUUCAAAUGAUAAUUAUGCAGACUCUGGUAAAACAGAAAUGGCCUUGAUACACAUCAUGAUAAAAAGAAAAUAUGAAAUUCACUGUGCAUUCUGUUGGCUGUUUAAAAAGAGUACAUAAUUGUAAUAACAGAAUUUUUUUAUUUUCUCAUGAUAAGGCUUAGGACUAAUGUGCUAAUGAGAAUGUGCUUCGUUGCUUCAGUCAUGCCUGACUCUUUGAGACCCUAAGGACUGAGCCCACCAGGCUCUUCUAUUCCAUGGGAUUCUUCGCAGACCACCCUCAAAUAUGGCACAUAUUUGAAUAUUGGCAUAUUGAAUACUUUAAGGUGAUGAAGGGAUUUGAGGGAACAGCAGGUUCAGGAAGAGCUCUGGGACCUUCCCCAAGAGCCGAUCAUAGCAUGAGAGAGGUGCCCUUCCUCUACCUGGAGAAGAGCAUCAUUAUCACCAAGACUGAGGGACGCCGAGAAGAUUCCACACACACAGCCCUUGCUGUUUCUCCCACUUACCUACCGUUAGCUCAUAGCCUUUGUCCUAGCGUGUUUCCAUGCUGCCCCUUCUUCGCUAAGCCCAGCAUAGAAACACUCAAGUUAAAUCGUUCUUUUGGGCCUUAAUUUCCUUAUGAAAGUUGCCAAGUCAUGUAAAACUUACAUUAAGUAAAUUGGUAUGAUUUGCUUCUAUUGAUCUGUCUUUGUCAAUUUGAUCUUCACAUCUAAUCAGGGACUCUAGGAAGGGCCAGGAAAGCUUUUUCCUCUGCUACACUUGCGUGGUGUAAUAUUUAGGCUAAAAAGGAAACUGCUUUGUGAUGUUUUCUGUAGCAUUUGUAACGAGUCACAUCAUCAAAGAGAAUGCUUUUCCAUCCUUACAUGUCUCGUUCCAGACUAUAGAAAGUCAUGAUAUGUAAGAAACAUGAUAUGUAUAUCUCCAACAUAACAACUGAAUGCAGAGUAUAGGCCUUACAGGGGACUCUGAUUGGAACAAACUGGCUGUAAAAAGAGAUUUUUGUGAAAACUGGAGACAUUUGAUUAUGGAAUGAAUAUUGUUGUUCACUUGUGUCUGACUCUUUGUGAUCCCAUGGAUGGCAGCACAUCAGAUUUCCCUGUCCUUCACCAUCUCCUGGAGGUUGCUCAAACGUGUGUCCACUGAGUCAAUGAUGCUAAUCAACCAUCUCAUUCUCUAUUGCCCCUUUCUUCUCCUGCCCUCAGUCUUUCCCAGCAUCAGUGUCUUUUCCAAUAAGAUGAUAUUAAAAAUUCUUGUUAAUUUUUAAAGAUGUGCUAAUGGCAUGGUGGUUAUGCUAAAAAUUUACGUAUGUAUGUUAAAAACAUGAUUUAGAAAUUCGCUUUAAACUGUUUUUAAAUGUGUGGAGAAGACUCUUGAGAGUCCCCUAGACAGCAAGAAGACCAAACUAGUCAAGCCUAAAGAAAAUCAAUCCUGAAUAUUCAUUGGAAAGACAUGCUCCAAUACUUUGGUCACCUGAUGUGAAGAGCUGACUCAUUAGGAAAGAUCCUGAUGCUGGGAAAGA